GGUGGCUCAGUGGUAGAGUACUUGCCUGGUGUGCAUGAGGCCCUGAGUUCGAUUCCUCAGCACCA
rnacentral:tRNA from 1 species